rnacentral:tRNA from 12 species
GCGGGAAUAGCUCAGUUGGUAGAGCAUAACCUUGCCAAGGUUAGGGUCGCGAGUUCGAGCCUCGUUUCCCGCUCCA